AUAUUUGGAUAGGAUAAGAUUUUUGAAACAUCUAGGAUUUUGAAUCAUCAAUUUUGGAGCUAUUAUGAUUUUUAUACAGGUUUUACAAGUUUUUGCAAAAGAAAAAAUGAAAAAGCUUUACCUAAUGGGCCAACUAUGCACUAAGCGAAUUAUAGCAGAAAAAUGGACUAGGCCGGCCCAGCCGCGCGGGGCUACGUUGGCGGCGAAAGCGCUCUAGGGGAUUAUGCCAACCCAGGCGAUAGUGGCCUCCGACCACUCCCGUUUUCACUUAAAAAAGGGGAGGCCCACCCAUUAGUGUCGUGUUCUCCAGGUGACAGGUGGGGCCCACGUGGCAGUUCUUCCCUCACCUCCCGCUCGGGCACAAAGUGAGUGGGGGAGGCGGAGCCGAGCGGUGCCGGGGAUCCCAUCAAUGGCACUGGCCACCUC
rnacentral:lncRNA from 1 species